AUGAAGGACGUUACUAACGACGAUAUGCUUUGGGGAGCUGUAAGUAAGCUUUGAUCCAGAGAUUUCCGAAUGGGGAAACCCAGCAUGAGUUAUGUCAUGUUAUCGAUAUGUGAAUACAUAGCAUAUCAGAAGGCACACCCGGAGAACUGAAACAUCUUAGUACCCGGAGGAAGAGAAAGAAAAUUCGAUUCCCUUAGUAGCGGCGAGCGAAACGGGAAGAGCCCAAACCAACAAGCUUGCUUGUUGGGGUUGUAGGACACUCUAUACGGAGUUACAAAGGACGACAUUAGACGAAUCAUCUGGAAAGAUGAAUCAAAGAAGGUAAUAAUCCUGUAGUCGAAAAUGUUGUCUCUCUUGAGUGGAUCCUGAGUACGACGGAGCACGUGAAAUUCCGUCGGAAUCUGGGAGGACCAUCUCCUAAGGCUAAAUACUCUCUAGUGACCGAUAGUGAACCAGUACCGUGAGGGAAAGGUGAAAAGCACCCCGGAAGGGGAGUGAAAUAGAACCUGAAACCGUGUGCUUACAAGUAGUCAGAGCCCGUUAAUGGGUGAUGGCGUGCCUUUUGUAGAAUGAACCGGCGAGUUACGAUUUGAUGCAAGGUUAAGCAGUAAAUGUGGAGCCGUAGCGAAAGCGAGUCUGAAUAGGGCGUUUAGUAUUUGGUCGUAGACCCGAAACCAGGUGAUCUACCCUUGGUCAGGUUGAAGUUCAGGUAACACUGAAUGGAGGACCGAACCGACUUACGUUGAAAAGUGAGCGGAUGAACUGAGGGUAGCGGAGAAAUU
rnacentral:rRNA from 1 species